rnacentral:rRNA from 1 species
UACGGAGGAUCCAAGCGUUAUCCGGAUUUAUUGGGUUUAAAGGGUGCGUAGGCGGUUUGAUAAGUUAGAGGUGAAAUUUCUGGGCUCAACCCAGAGACUGCCUCUAAAACUGUUAGACUAGAGAAUAGUUGCUGUUGGCGGAAUGUGUGGUGUAGCGGUGAAAUGCUUAGAUAUCACACAGAACACCGAUUGCGAAGGCAGCUGACAAAGCUAUGUCUGACGCUGAGGCACGAAAGCGUGGGGAGCAAACAGG